GGAAUAUUGGUCAAUGGGCGGAAGCCUGAACCAGCCAUCCCGCGUGAAGGAAGAAUGCGCUAUGCGUUGUAAACUUCUUUUCCAGGGGAAGAAAACCUCUGAUGUAUCGGAGCUUGCCGGUACCCUGGGAAUAAGCAUCGGCUAACUCCGUGCCAGCAGCCGCGGUAAUACGGAGGAUGCGAGCGUUAUCCGGAUUUAUUGGGUUUAAAGGGUGCGUAGGCGGAUAAAUAAGUCAGUGGUGAAACCCUGCAGCUUAACUGUAGACUUGCCAUUGAUACUGUUUAUCUUGAGUUUGGUCAAGGCAGGCGGAAUGUGUAAUGUAGCGGUGAAAUGCUUAGAUAUUACACAGAACACCGAUUGCGAAGGCAGCUUGCUGGGCCGGUACUGACGCUGAUGCACGAAAGCGUGGGGAUCGAACAGGAUUAGA
rnacentral:rRNA from 1 species